rnacentral:misc_RNA from 1 species
UUUCCGUAGGUGAACCUGCGGAAGGAUCAUUAUUGUAUAACCGAGGUGCGAGGGCUGUCGCUGACCCGAAAGGUCGUGCACGCCCGAGUGCCCUCACACAUGUCCAUCUCACCCCUAUGUGCACCACCGCGUGGGUCCCCCUUUGGCUUGUUCGGAGGGGGGCUUACGUUUUCACACAAACUUUGUAUGCAGUGUAGAAUGUAUUUUUUGUUUUUGCGAUCACGCAAUCAAUACAACUUUCAACAACGGAUCUCUUGGCUCUC